rnacentral:lncRNA from 1 species
UUGUUUUGUUGCUGAGUUGCCAUCGUCACUCUGGACCCAUAGCUACUCCAUCCCGAGUAGCCAUGGGCUUACCAUAGAAGGAACAAACUCUUAAUCUUAGAACUGCUUUAGGCAGUGGGCGUGAUGGUUAAAAACUCGGCCUUUGGCGUCGACCUCAGACGGAGAUCUACCAAUUAGGAAAUUAGCUGUGAUUUAGAAAAUUUAAUAUUUCGAUGCCAUACUUUCCUAAUCUGCAAAAUUUUUGUAAAUACCUGUGACCUAGUGUCGUGAGCGCUUAGCAACACCUGACACCCACUAAGCUCUCAGCCAGUGGUUCUGAAAGUGGUUCUAGACCAGCAACAACAGCAGUAGCAGCAGCACCUGUGAACUUGUUAGAAAUGCAAAGUUUCAGGCCCAUUCCAGUUCUACUGAAUCUGAAACUCGAAGGGAACAGCAACCUAUGUUUUAAUAAACCCCAAGACAGAAACAAUGUGUUACUACAUUUUUGUUGCUGGGGAAAAGAACUGACUUGAUGUACUUCCUCAGAAGAGAGACCGAACACCAGGAAAGAAAAUACAGAUUUCCCCAGACUCUACCUGCUAUCACCAUUUUGUUGUAAUACACCUUAACUGUGAGUAUAACUGUACGCUGCAUCCCAUGAGGCCUUCUAGUAAAUCACUGAACAUCAGGAUGGUCUUGAGGACCCUGACACACCUCAAACUGGAAAUAUCCCAAAUGCCCAUUAAUAAGAGAAUAUGUUAAUUUAACUGUACUACACAUGUCCCAUAUUUAUGCUAUCCAUGAAAAUGAAUGAGUUCAGUUAAACCUGUUACACUGGAAGGAAUCUCCACAAUGUACUGUCACAAGAGUAAUGUAAGAUUCCAUACAUGAACAGGGAAAAGACACAUUAUAAUAUGCAGUUAACACUGAAGUCACAGAGAAAGGGGGCAAUGUUUUAAAAGAAAAGGGGGAAAAAAAGAAGAGGGAAGGUAACGCAAAAAUUUUUUAAUGACUGAGGAAGGGAAAAUAUUUAAAUACAAAUAUAGCUAGUGAGUAACCAGUAGAUCAACAGACGGAUAUAAAAGAAGGGUCUCCAGAAUGUAAAAGUUCUUUCUCAAUAGUGUGAUUUCAGAUCUCCUUUAUUUUCUUUCAUUACUUUUCUCUAUUCUGACUUUUUUUGAUAAACACAUAUAAAGUGCAUAGUUUGAAAUGACAGCAAGGCCAUUUUCAUGGAGUAAAAGGAUUUCACCUAUUUUCUAUUUCAAUCUUUCAUUGGGUCUGGUUAUAAAAUUAGUCAUUUAUAUCAUGCUACCCUUUUCCUUCUUUGGUGGUAUGGGUGUUUAAUAUAAGCUCUUAACCGUCUAAAUGCAAAUGGGGGGGGGGGGAAGGCAUAAUCACAAAAUAAAGCUAGGCAGUUCCUAAAUGACUGAAAUUUGCCUAUAGUUGGACAAAUCAGAUUUACACAUACAUUUUUAAUUUCAAAGUUGGUUAUGUAAGUUUUAAUUUUACCCUUUCUAUCAUUACAAAGUGAGCUGGGCUGCUGGUUACAGAAAUUUUCUUUCCUUCUAGACACUAGACAGGAGAGACUCAGUGUAAGUGAUACAAUUAUAUCUUCUGUUUUCUUUGAGACAGUCUCACUCUGUCACCCAGGAUGGAGUGCAGUGGCGCCAUCUCGCCUCACU